GUACUGCCGAAGAGUCCCAAACCAGGAGGAAACAACUGUCCAGUAC
rfam:Trichobilharzia regenti genome assembly, scaffold: TRE_scaffold0006243